GGGGCAAGGAGGACUUAUGAACAAAUUCCCCUUUUUUCAUGGUUGUAUAAAAGGUUGAGAACCUAAUAAUUUUAAUAAUUUCCCCUUUUCUUUUAACAAAUACCAAAUGACUGUCUCUCUCUUUUUCUCUAUUGUCUGGUCUUCUUCUCGGCAAGCUCCCCCGCCAGAGAACCCAAGGGUUCUCCGGCCUCCAGUAGCGGAGCACGGUGGCCGGUAUAUUAAAAACUUUUUUCGAAAAAUGUUUUGUUUCUUUUAGUUCUUUUCUGUUUUCAUGUCUUUUUCGGUCUUUUUGUUCGGUCUCUGGUCUAGCUCCUUUACCGGAGAACCGUCCUGUCUCCGGCGCUGGAGCUCCUUCACGGUGGACUCAAUAUAAAAAAUAAAUAAAACAAGCCACUUUUUAAACCCCGUACUCUUCUUUUUAAAAAAAAAGAAGAAGAAAAAGCCGACAUCGUCAAACUCUUUUUCUUCCUUAAUUCUCUCCUUCGAAUGAAUACCUUCGAAUGGGCCUCUUCCUUUGCUUACUACUUUGUCUCUAUUUUUCUGGGAUUCUUUCCUUUUAAUUUUAUUUUGCUUUUUUCUUGGUCUGCUAACCUAGGGUUUUUGUCUUUUGUAGUCUAUAUACUAGUUUGUGCUAAUCUCGUUUAUUGCUAAUCCUGUAUUGCUCAAUCUGUAAUCUGUUCGUUUGGUUGUUUAAUCCAUUUUUGUUGUUUGUAAAAUUUCAAAAAUUGUGUUUAUUUUUACCAAUUUACCCUUAUGCUGAGUACUGGGGCUAUCGGUUGCCAAAAUGAAUAAAAUUGCAAUCUUGAUUCUUUCUUCCACCGGCCGCAACAGUUUGCUAGGUACAACACCCUAGCUAUAAAGAUAAAAAAAGAAAAAGAAAAAAAAUAAAUAUGGGCCUUUAGGCCGAAUUUAAAACGAUCAAGAAAAUUAUUUUAGCCUUGUGUCUUGCAAAUGAUUAAUUUUGGGUCAAAGAAAAUGAAGCAAACUUGGAAAUUGGGCUUUGAACAAAAAUUGGGCUUGAGAAUCGAUUUUAACAUUAAAAAAGAAAUGAUUUGAGGCUUAGAAACAAUCUAUUUUUUCAAAGUUUAACUAGCUUCCAACGGCCUAGGGUCAAAAGCAAAUUUACAAGAUUUAUUAAUUGUAAUGGACAAAAAAAAAAGAAAAGGAAAAGAAUGGAUAAAAAGAAGAGGAAAAGUAAAUAUUUGUAAAGGAAAAAAAAAGUAAGUAAAGGAAAGGAAAAGAAUGGAAAAAAAUAGUAGUAAAGGAAAAGAAUUGAAAGUUAAGGAGAGGAGAAGUUAUAUGGUUAUUUUGUUUGGAUAAUUAAAAUUAAUAAAGGAAAAAACAUAGAAUGACUUUUCAUUAUAUAUUUUUUAUUAAACUAUAGAAAGUUAAAGAAGUGAUUAUUUAUAAUAUUUUUUUCAAUUAUAUUAUUCUCAAGGAAAAAGUAAAUGAUAUUCACUCCUUUUACUUAAAAAAAAAAGUUAUCCAAAUAAAGGAAAGGGUAUU
rnacentral:lncRNA from 1 species